GAAUUCGCCCUUCCUACGGGGGGCAGCAGUGGGGAAUCUUGCGCAAUGGGCGAAAGCCUGACGUAGCAACGCCGCGUGAAUGAUGAAGGCCUUCGGGUCGUAAAGUUCUGUCAGGGGGGACGAUAAUGACGGUACCCCCGGAGGAAGCCCCGGCUAACUACGUGCCAGCAGCCGCGGUAAUA
rnacentral:rRNA from 1 species